rnacentral:rRNA from 1 species
CCUACGGGUGGCAGCAGUGGGGGAUAUUGCACAAUGGGGGAAACCCUGAUGCAGCGACGCCGCGUGGGCGAAGAAGUAUUUCGGUAUGUAAAGCCCUAUCAGCAGGGAAGAAGAAAUGACGGUACCUCUUGAAUAAGCCACGGCUAACUACGUGCCAGCAGCUGCGGCAAUACGUAGGUGGCAAGCGUUGUCCGGAUUUACUGGGUGUAAAGGGCGUGUAGCCGGGCUGACAAGUCAGGUGUGAAAUUCCGGGGCUCAACCCCGGACCUGCAUUUGAAACUGUUGGUCUUGAGUAUCGGAGAGGCAGGCGGAAUUCGUGGUGUAGCGGUGAAAUGCGUAGAUAUUAGGAAGAACACCAGUGGCGAAGGCGGCCUGCUGGACGACGACUGACGGUGAGGCGCGAAAGCGUGGGGAGCGAACAGGAUUAGAUACCCGAGUAGUC